UUUCCGUAGGUGAACCUGCGGAAGGAUCAUUACCGAGUUAGGGUGCUUCUCAGCGCCCGACCUCCCAACCCUUUGUAAUCCAUACCAUGUUGCCUCGGGGGCGACCCGGCCCUUUUGGGCGUCGGGGCCCCCGCUGGACCCAUAACACUGCAUCUGUGCGUCUGAGUGAUUAAUCAAUCAAUUAAAACUUUCAACAACGGAUCUCUUGGUUCUGGCAUCGAUGAAGAACGCAGC
rnacentral:misc_RNA from 1 species